CUAAAGUAAUUUUAGAGUGACGGGCAAUUUGAACACUAUCUAAUUAUAUUUAAAAUAAAAAUAAAAUUAUAAUAUUUUAAUUCUGAGUUCUAUUAUUCAGAUUUAGGCCUACCUAGAGUAAAAGCGAUCCACUAAAAAUCUAAUAUAUAUUCUUUGUCUUGAUUUGGUAUCAAAUAUUAUUAAUUUACUAAAUUAUUAUUAAUAUAUUCUAUAUUUAAUUCCAAUGAUAUAAAAAAUUAUAAUAAUAGAAAAGAAUAAAGUGUAUUAUCUAUUACUAAGCAGAACCCCCCAGUUAUUUAAAUAGCCGCCAGAUUGUUAAAGUUUCUUUUAAUUAAAUACUACUUAAUUUAAAAUUAAAG
rnacentral:rRNA from 1 species